rnacentral:rRNA from 1 species
UACGUAGGUGGCAAGCGUUGUCCGGAUUUAUUGGGUUUAAAGGGUGCGUAGGCGGUCUAUUAAGUCAGUGGUGAAAUACUCCAGCUUAACUGGAGGGGUGCCAUUGAUACUGAUGGACUUGAGUCAAGUCGAGGUAGGCGGAAUUGACGGUGUAGCGGUGAAAUGCGUAGAUAUCGUCAAGAACACCAAUAGUGAAGACAGCUUACUGGGCUUAAACUGACGCUGAGGCACGAAAGUGUGGGGAUCAAACAGG